rnacentral:Y_RNA from 1 species
GGCUAGUUUGAAGGUGGUUGUGACUUCUGUCAAUUUUUCAUAGUUGUAGAUCGAAUUCCUCCUUCUGCUCUUUCCCUCCUCACUGCUGCUGUUGACUAGUUUAAA